CCCUUAGAUGUUCUGGGCUGCACGCGCGCUACACUGAUGCAUGCAACGAGUUUAUAACCUUGGCCUGAAAGGUCUGGGUAAUCUUUUGAACGUGCAUCGUGAUAGGGAUAGAUUAUUGCAAUUGUUAAUCUUGAACGAGGAAUUCCUAGUAAACGCGAGUCAUCAGCUCGCAUUGAUUACGUCCCUGCCCUUUGUACACACCGCCCGUCGCACCUACCGAUUGAAUGGUUCGGUGAAGAUCUCGGACUUCGAUAUUUAUUCUUUAUUGAGUUUAUAUUGUGGGAAGUUAUCUAAACCUCAUCAUUUAGAGGAAGGUGAAGUCGUAACA
rnacentral:rRNA from 1 species